rnacentral:lncRNA from 1 species
AGGCAUAAACCUUCCACUCUUGAACAAAGCAGCUGCUUUUUAAAAGCGAGAAAAAGGAAAGCGAGUCACAGGCCACUCAACGCCUACUCCAUGGGGUCUGAUUUGCUGAGACACCAACUUCACCUUCCUAACAAGGUGCAGCUCAAAUGAAGAUGAUGACUACCAGAAGACAUGAACAAAGGGUAAGUGGCAAUAAACCUCUGAAGAACCUUUAUAUGUAUAUUGACCUGUACACAGAAGGCAGACCAGUCUGUGAGACUACUGGAGAUAGAGCAAUCUUCUACAGCAUGUGUCAGAUUGUAACUGUGCAGAACGUUGGGAAGUGGCUAUUGCUUGAAGUUAAUAAAGUAUGCUUAAACUUACUUGCCUCUCGUCUUCUGUUGUGUUCACGGAUGUACUUUUGCAAAGCUUCUAAACGUACGAAGAAUUGUGAAAGACACCAUUUUGUUUCUGCAUGGUGCUGUCUGCUUUAGAGAUCAGAUGUAUUAAAGAGUUGGGGGAUGCUGUGGCACAGCCAUUAAUUUUUUUGAAGAACAGAAUGCACUGUUGGUAGAGCUGAGUUAAUGAGCUGCCUGCUUGGUGACACGGCUGGCCUCUAUAAAAGGAGGC